GACGAACGCUGGCGGCGUGCUUAACACAUGCAAGUCGAACGGAGUUGCGAACGGGUGAGUAUUACGUGAGUAACCUGCCCUCAACUGUGGGAUAAGCCUGGGAAACUGGGUCUAAUACUGCAUAGUUGGGGAUGGGCUCGCGGCCUAUCAGCUUGUUGGUGGGGUGAUGGCCUACCAAGCCGGUGACGGGUAGCCGGCCUAUGAGGGUGGUGGGCAACAUGGGGACUGGGAUACGGCCCAGACUCCUACGGGAGGAAGCAGUGGGGGAUAUUGCACAAUGGGCGCAAGCCGGAUGCAGCGAAGCCGCGUGAGGGAUGAAGGCUUUCGGGUUGUAAACCGCUGUAGGUACAGAACGGGUAUGUGCAGAAGAAGCGCCGGCUAACUACGUGCCAGCAGCCGAGGUAAUAC
rnacentral:rRNA from 1 species